rnacentral:rRNA from 1 species
GAUAUUUUGCAAUAGGGGGAACCCUGAUCCAGCCAUGCCCCGUGGGUGAAGAAGGGCUNCGGAGUNUNAAACACUUUAAGGUGGGNGGGAGGGGUUUAGGUUAAUAACCUGAAGUUUUGACGUUACCAACAGAAAAAACACCGGCCACCUCUGUGCCAGCAGCCGCGGUAAUACAGAGGGUGCAAGCGUUAAUCGGAAUUACUGGGCGUAAAGCGCGCGUAGGUGGUUCAGUAAGAUGGGUGUGAAAUCCCCGGGCUUAACCUGGGAACUGCUUUCAUAACUGCUGAGCUAGAGUACGGUAGAGGGUAGUGGAAUUUCCUGUGUAGCGGUGAAAUGCGUAGAUAUAGGAAGGAACACCAGUGGCGAAGGCGACUACCUGGACUGAUACUGACACUGAGGUGCGAAAGCGUGGGGAGCAAACA